UCUGCUUUCAGAGCUUCUGCACACCACUGUGCCUUACUUAUUUCUGCCUUGCUCUGUCUGCUUCUCCUUUCUUUCCCUCAUAUCUUGCCUCCACUUGUUUUCUCUUCUUCUUCUCAUACUGCUCUUCUUAAAAAAUGGCUGCUUUGGCUUUCCACCACCACCUUCUCAAGCACUGAGCAAGACCACGAGCUCAACCACUACAGCAAACCUGAUGUGCAAGACAACAGAGAUCUGAACGUGUAGUGCACAAAAUAUCCAAAAGAAGAUUCUGCCACUGCUGAAAAAGACAUUUCAAUACUUGGAGGCCAAGAUGAGACAGAAGAGCAGGCAUCAAUCUGUGGCUGGCACACAGAGAAGAAAAGAAAAAUGCUUUUAUUUGAUGCCCAUAAUUUUUAAUUAAGACUCCAGCAAGACCCUUCUGCACAGGGACUGAGAUUACCUCGUGCAAGACUAAGAGGGUAGGACGUGGGGAAUAAUGAAUCAUAAACCACACAAGACUGUAUUCAUCAGACCAAUUUGGGCUACUGGGAGGCCAGGGAACAUUAUGGAAAUGAGGCAAGCAAGUAAAAAAACAUCUAAAGACAAAGGAACAAUGGGCUGCACUUUCCCAAUCUCAUCUGGGAGGCAAAACCGCACUGCAGAGCUCCAUAGCCAUGGUCGCGCAUCUCCCCUCCUCUGGCCCAGCAGCUGUAGCUGCUCCACAGGAGAUCUCCCCUCCAAGCAGUUGACCCGGAGAGGCAAUUUCUGCAUGACUGAGCGUGUAGACACUCUGCUGGGGCUCUGGCAGUCCUUUUUUGUGGCACUGUAACCCCAAAUCAGUGUUGACUGCCAGGCUAAAUAAGUUCUGUCUCCGCCUUGCCUGUUUACACUCUGUAGAAGUACCAAUUACCAGGGUUUUCCUUGGUCACUGUUUAACCAGCUGUACAUAUUUUGUAUUGUAAAGUUUUCUACACAUGCCAUUCACUCCGCUUCUUAGUUUUUUGGUUUUGUUUUGUUUUGUUUUGUUUUUCUUCCCAGAAUUCCUCUGGUUUGUUUGAGCUCUGUGCAAGGAUAUAUUACAAAUUGCUAUGCGCAUAGGUUAUGAAUUGUGACAGCACGGCGAUGGAGAAGUGUUUCAAUUCAACAUUAAAUGUAUUGCAUGGUGUCAUAAAAUAUGUUCGUGACAACUUUGUGGCUAUCUUGAAAUUAUAAACCCCAGAUGUGCUUUCCCAGCUGGAAGGCAGAGGCAAAAAAGCUCUAGAAGGCCCUGGAUGAAUUGAGACCCAGGUAACCAUGAUGUCAGUCUCACUCACACCCUUUGUGCCUUGCGUUUUGGGAAAAGCAGAUGCACAGAGACACUGCUUUCCUGCAGAUCUCCCACUGGUAAUAAGCAAAGGAGUGAGACUGCAGGGAACAAAAAUGACCAGGGAGUCCCUCUCACAGCAGGUUCGCAGCCUUGGUACAUACUGAGAGAAAGAAGGAGAGAAAAUAAAAGGAAGAUGACAAGGUUAUAGCAACAUGCCUGUGGGUGGUACAGUGCCUGUGGGUGGUAUAACUUUUGAUCCCAGGCUAAAUUUUUCUCAUUAAUUUGGUGUGACUGGGUAUUGUCAACAAGCUUAACUUUGUGAUGACUGCUAGCAAAACAUUCAAGAAUGGGGUGAAAAAGAAGGAAAUGCUUAACUUACAGCCCAGCACUACACAGCAGUGUGUGAUUCAAGCAUGGUAUAAGCAACAGACAAAAUAUGACAUAUGAUAACUAGUAAAAAAUAGUAAAAAUGAACCCUAGAAAAAGAGAUACAAAUACAAGAUGGUUACCUGACUUAGCCCCAGCUCAUUCAGCCGGGAUUGGGUCUAAAUAUCUUGAAGUAUCUGAAAGGCAGGUUUUAGUUAAAGGCAGCAUAUGCAAUUUCAGUUGUGCACCUACACAGCCAUACACUGAGAUUGUCCAUAGUGUUCCCCCUUGACUUGAUGGGGAUCAUAAAAGCAGAAACAGGAGCUGAGUAUAGCAAUGUCUAGCUUCCGCUCUGGCAGUGAAUUCAAAUUUUUGACUGAAUGACAGUGAAGAGGAGCUCAGGGCAACCAUACUUGCUGGUAUCCUUUGACACUGCUGAUCUGAAUGACUGACAGUACUGCAUUUCAUUCACGACUUCCUUGUUUCUAGCUAUGCAUGUACAAAACUUCAGCCUUGUCCCACAUUCUCCUGCAUCCCAUAUGUGAUAAGUACAGAAAACUGACUCUUGCUUAAAGAAAGAUUGAGAGUGGUGGGGUGAUGCUUCAGUUUUCCCUCAGCUCCUCAGGUAAUUUUAUCAUCUUGCUAACAUCAUUUUAAGUUUUUGCUAUAAAAUCUUGUAAGCAAUCUCACUAAGAUCCUCCAGGACUGGAAUCUUGAAUUUUGAUCCAUAUGUGCUUUCAGUUUUGUGAGGUCAGCCUAGGUCUGCAGGGAUGUUGUUCCUGUUGUUAAAAACACUAGAAAAAAAAAGGCACAAACAGCUGCUGUAAGCAAGAUCUCAUCCGUGUUCCUACAUAAUCUAAACUAACAUAACUUGUCAUAGGUUAUGCUAAUGACUAUCCUCUUUGCUGCAUAGCAGUUUAUAUAAAACCCUGAACUGAAUAUAAAACAAGUCAGAUCCAGUGACUGAGCAAUCUAAUAAAUGCUAGCUUUGUGUUAUUCAGGUAAUUUCAUGAAUAUUGGAACUAAGGAAAAUUUAUUUCCUACAGACUUUUGUCCUCUUGCUGAUUUAUGUCUAGUGAGAUUCAAGGUCUGAUCAAACCAUUGGCUUUGGAGUUUUCAGAGCUUCCUCUCAUGUGGAUUCACUCUGGUUUAGUAAUGUCUGACCUUGAGAGAUCAGAAUGCAGCCUUUCUCUCUGUUACACCAUGGUUAGAGCCAUUCUCCUCCAGUGUAGAGCCUUCCUCUUCUAGCCACUGAUCUUUAUAAAGUGUACUUGGUUGCUCCCUCUGCCACUCUCUUAAAUUUCGUCAGAGACUGGGGUUAGAGCUUAAUUAAGCAGGCAAGCAGAGAGGCGGACAGAGAUAUAGUCAGACAAUGUGGUUGCACAAGUUUUAUUUCCUUUGGAAACCAGACAAAAGAAGAAAUUGUCUCAAAGUGCAUUUUACAAGCCUGCCUAUUUUUACUCCCUGGAUAUUUGAAUCCUCUGUGUCCAAUAUGAAUAAAAUGCAUUCAACAUGAUAUUGAUGUAAUGGAAAAUCAAACAACUCAAGCCCAAUGGCUAUGAUGGAAACAAAUAUUUUUUCAUAUGUUCAACUUGCCAGAGGCCUACAAACAAAGCAGGAGUAGAUACAUAGAUGAGAUUAAUAAUUAAACUUUAUUUUGGGGCCUUUCAAGGUUUAGAGCUCUCUCUUUCCCUCCUCAACUCAGAUACGGUGCAUCUUUCUUUCUCUUCCCUCGUCCAGAGACCUCUGUGCAGAGCAAGUCUCCACCAGCUAAAACACUAGGACAUGACCUUCCCCAUGGCUUGGCAAUGCCACACAAUGAAGAGCCCAUCCAAUGAGAGCCACUCCUGUCCUUCUCUACCUGGAUGAGAGCUAUCACUGCAUCUUCUUGGCUUUCAGCUGUCAACCACUUUCCUCUGUUUCAGAAUCCCAGAAUCGAGCCAGACUUUUUGGAACAUUUGGACCAAAUCCAAUCCACCUCUUGAGAUGUGGAUACCUUGGUGCACUGUAUUUUCGAAUCUCACCAUGUGGACAUCACAUAUAAUGUCAUAUGUGCUAUAUUGCAGCUUAUACUGCUCUAAGUUGCUACUGGGGAAAUUGUGCUAAAGUGUCAUUUGAAAUAAGUACCUAAGUGCGUCUGCAGCUGUAGGAACCAAAUAUCAGUAGGCGAUAAUCCAUGCUAUAGUAGUAAAGCUUUGUUCAGUAACAGUGAUAAACACAGAUCAGAGGCAGAUUACAUGCUAUUUUUAUGAUACACAUUAUUAUUUUGAUACCUUCUUCACUUGACAGUUAGAGGAAUGAUGGGAUGAGUGUUGAUAAUUCCAUGGUAGUAUUAUGUCACAUGUUAAAUCCCUGCCAACCAAACUGUGAAGUCAGGUAUUACUAUUUCAGAUUUACUCUGACUAGUUAAAACUCAUGAAUUCUGUCUUGGGGAUUACUCCUCUUUAUCACAAAUGAGUUUACUCUACCUAUGCUUACCUUUUCCUACAAAAACUUUCUUUUUUUUUUUCAAUUGCUAUCAGCAACAGUUCCUUUACUUGAUUGUCUUGCAUUUUUGCCAGAUGAACUUCUUUGACAUGAGUGUUCAUGUGGAGCUAAUAGAAAACACUCUUCCUCUUAAAUAUUUACAGCUCUAAACCAUAUUUACUUCUACUGCAUAUUUUUUGUAAUAUCUGAGAAUUAGCUGGUCAGUUAUUUGUUAGCAUACUACUAGCAACAUGGUCUUCAGUUGAAAAAAGACCUUGAAGGCAUGCUAUGUCAGAUAACCUGUGCUAAAAAACUCAAUUCUCUUUCCCCUCC